rnacentral:rRNA from 1 species
UGAACGCUGGCGGCAGGCCUAACACAUGCAAGUCGAGCGGUAACAUUUCUAGCUUGCUAGAAGAUGACGAGCGGCGGACGGGUGAGUAAUGCUUGGGAAUAUGCCUUAGGGUGGGGGACAACAGUUGGAAACGACUGCUAAUACCGCAUAACGUCUACGGACCAAAGGGGGCUUCGGCUCUCGCCCUUAGAUUAGCCCAAGUGGGAUUAGCUAGUUGGUGAGGUAAUGGCUCACCAAGGCGACGAUCCCUAGCUGGUUUGAGAGGAUGAUCAGCCACACUGGNACUGAGACACGGNCCAGACUCCUACGGGAGGCAGCAGUGGGGAAUAUUGCACAAUGGGCGCAANCCUGAUNCAGCCAUGCCGCGUGUGUGAAGAAGGCCUUNGGGUUGUAAAGCACUUUCAGUNNGGAGGAAAGGUNANUNGUUAAUACCNGNUNGCUGUGACGUUACNNACAGAAGAAGCACCGGCUAACUCCGUGCCAGCAGCCGCGGUAAUACGGAGGGUGCGAGCGUUAAUCGGAAUUACUGGGCGUAAAGCGUACGCAGGCGGUUUGUUAAGCGAGAUGUGAAAGCCCCGGGCUCAACCUGGGAACUGCAUUUCGAACUGGCAAACUAGAGUAUGAUAGAGGGUGGUAGAAUUUCAGGUGUAGCGGUGAAAUGCGUAGAGAUCUGAAGGAAUACCGAUGGCGAAGGCAGCCACCUGGGUCAAUACUGACGCUCAUGUACGAAAGCGUGGGGAGCAAACGGGAUUAGAUACCCCGGUAGUCCACGCCGUAAACGAUGUCUACUAGGAGCUGGGGUCUUCGGACAACUUUUCCAAAGCUAACGCAUUAAGUAGACCGCCUGGGGAGUACGGCCGCAAGGUUAAAACUCAAAUGAAUUGACGGGGGCCCGCACAAGCGGU